GCGCGAGCGUUGUCCGGAAUUAUUGGGCGUAAAGAGCUUGUAGGCGGUUUGUCGCGUCUGCUGUGAAAGCCCGGGGCUUAACCCCGGGUUUGCAGUGGGUACGGGCUAACUAGAGUGCAGUAGGGGAGACUGGAAUUCCUGGUGUAGCGGUGAAAUGCGCAGAUAUCAGGAGGAACACCAAUGGCGAAGGCAGGUCUCUGGGCUGUAACUGACGCUGAGAAGCGAAAGCAUGGGGAGCAAAC
rnacentral:rRNA from 1 species